GGGGGAUAACUACUGGAAACGGUGGCUAAUACCGCAUAACGUCGCAAGACCAAAGAGGGGGACCUUCGGGCCUCUUGCCAUCAGAUGUGCCCAGAUGGGAUUAGCUUGUUGGUGAGGUAACGGCUCACCAAGGCGACGAUCCCUAGCUGGUCUGAGAGGAUGACCAGCCACACUGGAACUGAGACACGGUCCAGACUCCUACGGGAGGCAGCAGUGGGGAAUAUUGCACAAUGGGCGCAAGCCUGAUGCAGCCAUGCCGCGUGUAUGAAGAAGGCCUUCGGGUUGUAAAGUACUU
rnacentral:rRNA from 1 species